AGGAUUAAUCUUUAUUUCAGCAGCAUCAGAGACAUCUCAGCCAAUGACAGAAGAGGACCGUAAAUAUGGACCAAUGAGCAGCAGGGAGCCUCAUCGACCAAUCACAGCAGGGUUCACUCAGCUUCGAUAUCAGUUCGUUGGUCGUUUCUCUGCACGGUGACGUCAGUUUAAAACCAAGACGAGGUUGAAUGCUGCGUCCACGUCGUCCCAGGAAACGGAUUUAAACCAUCGAUCAGAUUGUGUGGAACCAAAACUCUGAACAGUUUAAUUUACAGAAAGUAAAACGUACGGAUCAUCAUUAAAUUAAGUUUUAUGAGCGUAUAUGUUUCAGUGCACGUUUAUAAAACGUUGUUAUUUCUUCUCCUUCUUCAACAACAACACAGAUUUAAAAUAUAACAAACAUCUGAUUUUCCUCGUUUUAAACUAAAGGGUUUUGGAUUUUGGGACAAUCUGUAAUUAGUCAGAUUUCUUCCUGUUUCUAGAACAAAUCCUAAAAA